AAACAGGCAGAAACAAUGAUGAUAAAGUAAAGAUGAACCCAAGUGCAGUUUAUUCUUAUAACGUGAAACAGUAUCCCUAACUAUGAAAGUGAAAGAAAACAAAACAAGAAACCAAGGACCAAACUAAUAAUGACAAAAUUAGACACGACAUGAAAUAACUAAUGCUAAGGCUGGACAGGACUGGAACAACACUACAAGGUACAUGUAUACAAACUGGACUAAACUAUAGGUGAACAGCAAGGUUACACGUGCACAGGCAAGACCAAACUAUAGGUGAACAGCAAGGUUACACGUGCACAGGCAAGACCAAACUAUAGGUGAACAGCAAGGUUACACGUGCACAGGCAAGACCAAACUAUAGGUGAACAGCAAGGUUACACGUGCACAGGCAAGACCAAACUAUAGGUGAACAGCAAGGUUACACGUGCACAGGCAAGACCAAACUAUAGGUGAACAGCAAGGUUACACGUGCACAGGCAAGACCAAACUAUAGGUGAACAGCAAGGUUACACGUGCACAGGCAAGACCAAACUAUAGGUGAACAGCAAGGUUACACGUGCACAGGCAAGACCAAACUAUAGGUGAACAGCAAGGUUACACGUGCACAGGCAAGACCAAACUAUAGGUGAACAGCAAGGUUACACGUGCACAGGCAAGACCAAACUAUAGGUGAACAACAAGGUUACACGUGCACAGGCAAGACCAAACUAUAGGUGAACAACAAGGUUACAAGUGCACAGGCAAGACUAAACUAUAGGUGAACAACAAGGUUACAAGUGCAAUACCUGACAAGUUACAAAGGCAAACAUGAGGGUUUAAAUACACAAGACCCGGGAAACAAAGGCCAAUAAACAAACAGAACUUUCAAACAAGAUAACAAGACAAUUAACUAAAACCAAUGACAAACUAGAACUGAAUCAAAGUAAUCAAACAAUAAACCAAUGAAAACCGGACACAUGAACAAGGGAAAACAGGAAUUGACAAGGACUAGAAAACAGGAACUAAACAGGAAAUUUCAAAAUAAAAGUACAAAAACAAAAG